GACGAACGCUGGCGGCGUGCUUAACACAUGCAAGUCGUACGGUAAGGCCCUUUCGGGGGUACACGAGUGGCGAACGGGUGAGUAACACGUGAGUAACCUGCCCACAACUUUGGGAUAACGCUAGGAAACUGGUGCUAAUACUGGAUAUGUGCUCCUGCUGCAUGGUGGGGGUUGGAAAGCUCCGGCGGUUGUGGAUGGACUCGCGGCCUAUCCGCUUGUUGGUGUGGUAGUGGCCUACCAAGGCGGCGACGGGUAGCCGGCCUGGGAGGGUGACCGGCCACAUUGGGACUGAGAUACGGCCCAGACUCCGACGGGAGGCAGCAGUGGGGAAUAUUGCACAAGGGGCGCAAGCCUGAUGCAGCAGCGCCGCGUGCGGGAUGACGGCCUUCGGGUUGGAAACCGCUUUCAGCAGGGACGAAGCUUUUUGUGACGGUACCUGCAGAAGAAGCACCGGCUAACUACGUG
rnacentral:rRNA from 1 species